CCUACGGGAGGCAGCAGUGGGGAAUAUUGGACAAUGGGCGAAAGCCUGAUCCAGCAAUGCCGCGUGAGUGAUGAAGGCCUUAGGGUUGUAAAGCUCUUUUACCAGGGAUGAUAAUGACAGUACCUGGAGAAUAAGCUCCGGCUAACUCCGUGCCAGCAGCCGCGGUAAUACGGAGGGAGCUAGCGUUGUUCGGAAUUACUGGGCGUAAAGAGUACGUAGGCGGUUAUUCAAGUCAGAGGUGAAAGCCCGGGGCUCAACCCCGGAACUGCCUUUGAAACUAGAUAGCUAGAAUCUUGGAGAGGUCAGUGGAAUUCCGAGUGUAGAGGUGAAAUUCGUAGAUAUUCGGAAGAACACCAGUGGCGAAGGCGACUGACUGGACAAGUAUUGACGCUGAGGUACGAAAGCGUGGGGAGCAAACAGGAUUAGAUACCCUGGUAGUCCACGCCGUAAACGAUGAUAACUAGUUGUUCGGGCACUUGGUGCCUGAGUGACGCAGCUAACGCAUUAAGUUAUCCGCCUGGGGAGUGCGGUCGCAAGNUUAAAACUUAAAGUAUAAGUGACGNGUGAGUGCGACGAGCACACGGAGGUAG
rnacentral:rRNA from 1 species